GACGAACGCUUGCGGCGUGCCUAAGAAAUGCAAGUCGAGCGGUCUUAGAGGCUUCGGCCUUUAGGGUAGCGGCGAACGGUCGCGUAACACGUAGGCAACCUGUCCCAAAGCCCGGGAUAACAGCCCGAAAGGGUUGCUAAUACCGGAUGUGACCACGUUGGAGCAUUCCGAUGUGAUUAAACCGAGCAAUCGGCUUCGGGAGGGGCCUGCGGCCUAUCAGCUAGAUGGCGGGGUAACGGCUCACCAUGGCGACGACGGGUAGCUGGUCUGAGAGGAU
rnacentral:rRNA from 1 species